GACGAACGCUGGCGGCGUGCUUAACACAUGCAAGUCGAACGGAAAGGCCCUGCUUGCAGGGUACUCGAGUGGCGAACGGGUGAGUAACACGUGGGUGAUCUGCCCUGCACUUCGGGAUAAGCCUGGGAAACUGGGUCUAAUACCGGAUAGGAGCCAUAUUUAGUGUGAUGGUUGGAAAGUUUUUUCGGUGUAGGAUGAGCUCGCGGCCUAUCAGCUUGUUGGUGGGGUAAUGGCCUACCAAGGCGGCGACGGGUAGCCGGCCUGAGAGGGUGGACGGCCACAUUGGGACUGAGAUACGGCCCAGACUCCUACGGGAGGCAGCAGUGGGGAAUAUUGCACAAUGGGCGCAAGCCUGAUGCAGCGACGCCGCGGGGGGGAUGACGGGCUUCGGGUUGUAAACUCCUUUCGCUAGGGACGAAGCUUUUUGUGACGGUACCUAGAUAAGAAGCACCGGCUAACUACGUG
rnacentral:rRNA from 1 species